rnacentral:lncRNA from 1 species
GUGGGGGUCAUUCGAGGUUCCCUCCUCGAGUGUGCGUACGUGUCUCGUGCGUUUAUGGAGCCCUGGCUUGCCCGUGGCUGUCAUCCCACAUGUAACCUCUAUUCGCUUUGUACGCGGGUGGUCUUGCGCCACGAUGCCGGAGUUGGGUGCCGGAGUCACAUCAAGGUCGCAAGAUCGAAACCCAUCAGGAACGGUUCGGCUCCGUUACCUGUGUAGGCACUGAACAUACUUGUGCCGAACUUCCCCGAAAGAGUGCCAUCUCGGCCUUCCUAGGUCGCUGCUCUACGGGUGAGGACGCUGGUGCGGCGGGUUCUGAUGGUUUCCCCGCGAGAGCUAUCCUGCUUUCUAGAAGCCGGUCUGCGAGCCAGUUGGCGCUGAUGCGCCGGGGCAGGAGGAGGCCCCUGAUUAGGGAAUGCGCGUCACCCAGCGCCGAUCUGCGAGCCCGUGUUUCGAGGCGUUACCGUGGCCCAGUAUGGCCGAUGGUUGCAGACAACCCCCCUCCCCCAAAUUCGCUAAAUAAGUUAGCUCGUUCUACUCCGCUUGGUUGCAUUAGGGCGCCUCGGCGCCCUGACCCUCCUUGUCGGUAGUAGUUCCUGGCCGGCCUUUGUGGCCGCGCCCAUCCCCUGUGGCGCCUCCAUGGCGUCCCUGGCGUUGCUUAGGUCAGCUGUAGUGCGUCAGUGCUGCUCUGGCUGCGGCGCGCCACUCAGUCGGCGACAUCAUCGUCGCCGUCCUGCUGAGCGGCCCCCGCUCUGGCACUCUUUGCCGAACAUCAUGACUUCACACCGUGGAGCCUUCGCGACCUAGCGUGGGUGGCGCGCCUGCUCGCCGGUCGACCUCGUCCUCAUGGCUUCGCGCUGCUGCCGGGCUCGCAGUGGCGUGUCGCUGAGCGGCUCUUUCGGUAACGGAGGGCCGAUUGGGGCUGCUGGCGACUCUUGCUGUGGGCUGCUGCCGCGGCCUGACGUGGCGCCGGGCUCGCCGCGCGUGAACAGGGGCACGCUGCGGCGGGAGCCAGGACCGGCGUCUUCCGGGCGGCGGCGGCUGGAGCUGUGGGCGCAUCUACACAGUGGAGAGACCUGCUUGGCGAAUGCAGUCUGGCGAAGGCAGUCCAGCGAAGGCUGGCUGGCGCUGUCUGCUGUGCUAGGGUGUUGCGAGGCUGUGUGGACUUGGUUGGGCGGUGGGCGUGCCUGCACCGCCUACGCUAGGUUGCGGGCGCUGUGGCUUGUGCUGUCUGGUGGGUCGGACCGGCUGAUCCUCGUGGUUCAGCGAACUUGCACGGCCCUAGGCCGUCUACAGGAUGCAGCUUCGGGCUGCACCCAACAGUGUGAGGGCCCUGCCCUGUUGGUGCUGGUGUUUUGGGGUAGGAGUUGCACUUUGCAAAGUGGCAGUCAGUCUGACGCCGACCCGCGGCUUAGGUGAGCAGCGCUAGCGUUUGCGGUGAGCCUUGCUCGGGGUUCCUCCCCUCCUUUAGUGAGGCGAGGAGCAUGGGGGUCAUUCGAGGUUCCCUCCUCGAGUGUGCGUACGUGUCUCGUGCGUUUAUGGAGCCCUGGCUUGCCCGUGGCUGUCAUCCCACAUGUAACCUCUAUUCGCUAAAUAUCACGUCCGAAGACGAUGGCUGGCGUCAGAGACGCGCAAUGUCUUGGCCCGAAGGCCCAUGUCUGAUAGUCUGUGCCGAGGCACAACUGGAACCGGAAGCCAAGCCGAAACACCACCAAGCCACAGCACACCACAGCCCCUCUCAAAGGGCGCACCACCCGCCAACCGUCCAACCAACGACCCAGGCCGACCCUCCACACAAGCCCCAGCGGCACUCGGAGACGAGAAGAGCCAACAGUCGCCCGGGCGCCCGGGCAACAGCCGCCCGUGCACACACACCCCAAACCCGGGACUACCCGACUGCGGUCACCACGCGCCUACCGGUCCGUGAACCGUAUGCUGCGAGCUAAAACCCCCAGGGCUAAAAUCUGCAGAGCCAGGAAGACCGCAGACAGAGACGACGGCUGACUGGGCGCCACGAGGCAAGACGCCGAGGCGCACACAGGCGAGGCACCGAUGCGCCAGCCGUUGCGCCGGGCCAAGGGCGACCACGAGGGCUACCCACUACCUGCAAACACAGAAACCACUGACAACACAACACCGAAGAACUCAUGCGACCAGCCGCCCGCGAGCCGCCAUGGAACUUCGAACCCAAAGCUCGGCGCUGAGCGCCUGUCUGAACCCCAACCCUGUCUGAACCAAUCUGAUCAAAGCGCCCGGAACAGGCGACAAAAAUUUGGAAACGAAAGCCAAGGUCGACAACUAAGAUGUUGUGCGCCCCCACGCGAGCCAAGGCUCGCGGGCUAGGGGAUGAGCCCUAGAGGCUAAGUUUAUAGUUUAUGUCAUAUGGUCUAAGUUAUGACCCCUCAAAGUGGCCGGUCGGUCGGUCGGUCGGGGGGUCCCAAGAGGUUUUGCACAGGUUCGUGCCAAGUUUUGUUCCUAGCGCUUCUGUCCUGCAGCGCGCGGCACAAUGGGUGCAGCUCAACGAGGCGUGCGUAGGUAUACCCCAGACUUAGCACACAUGCAUAGUAUGGGGUACUUUGGGGAGCGGCAUGUCAGCAUUUUGGAAGAUGCCUGGGGAACGGGCCAGGGACAGGCCGGUGCCGGGCGGGUUUUGCAUGGAUGAACGCGUCAGCUCAUUUCGUACUAUCAAGUAACAUUGGAGUAAGCCGUUGCAUAGCAGGCCAGUCUGUCAGGACACUUGUCGGCGGACGGGUGACAUGUCCACAUGUCCACAUGUCGGUCGGUCAAAGUGUGUUCCCAAGGCGGAUCAUUUUGCAUAGCGAUAGAUGUCACCGAGAGCAGUCAAUUGGCACCAACCUGACAAAAAACUAAGGGGUUCUGAGGGGGUUUUGGGGGGUCGUACGGUAGGGGGGGUCGGUCGGUCGGUCGGUCGGGGGGUCCCAUGGGGUCAAAAAAGUUUGUUCCUACCCCCCCCCUGGAGGUUCUAUAGGUAGGGGUAUCGGGUAUCGGGGAGGUGUUAAGUGUGAUAGAGGUUUAAAGAGACAGUGGCAAACGGGAAGGCACGAAUCUUGGCACGAACGGCUCAGCUGGGAUGUGAACGUGCGCAUUGUGGCCAUGCUAGCCCUAACCAAGUCUUCAACCAAAACUUGAGCCACCCCCCCCCCACACACACACACACAAACCAUGCAUCUGCAGUUGCGCAAGCAAACCUUGGCCUUGGACCGCGUGCCGAAGAACACCUGUCUUGUGAGUGCGGAUGUUACAGAGGGGACAGUCCCAGUACCCGAAGACGCCGAGCCAUCACAUGCUAUCAGGGCCCAAGUUGACUCCACCAACCCCGACUUUGCUGCAAACCCUCCCGCGGUCAAAGUCCGUGUGACUCCGCGCACAGUGAGUCCUAGCCAAGCCUCAACCCGCCAGAGCCCCACCGCUGUGCCUCAAUGCCACAAGCCUAGGCACCGGAGUGCCGGGAAUCGUCCAGGCCGCAGCACACACGCACAGCGCACGCACUAACCAGGGCGCAAGCGUCCAGGCACUAGAACGGUCGCCCACACGCGCGUCCUGCCCACACACUAAUCCCCCAACCACCCACAACCUCUCACGGUGAGGGAGGCGGGGAAUCAGCGUCAUACGGCAAGCGCAAUACCAGGCCUUCACCAACAGCCCGAGAGAUGAAAGGAUGCGCAGACGGCACAGCGUCCCAACCCUUUGGCCUGAUACCCAAAGUCACAAACGUCUGGAGACGACCCCAGAAGUCAGCUACGACGCCAAGUCCAAUGCUCAGCACCCGGGCCGACGGCAGCUUCGCUCGCGCAGUCGCGCCGCCAGCCCGGCCAUAACCACACGCUGCCGACCAAAGUCCAGGGCAGACAUAGCAGCGAGACACACCACAUCCCACACAGGUGGCGCAAGCCCCGCAGGCGGGCGCACUAACCACAACUCCUCACGAGAGAAGGCACUUAGAGCAUCCUCUGGCAUGGAAACCCAUAGCCAUCCCCAUGUUUUCCCGCAGGGACAGCGCAACAGUGCAGUCCCAAAACCAGUGACGCCGGUCCCCAUCCUGCGUGUCAAACCCACACGCCCAACACGGGUCAACAGCAACGCCUCGCGCCCGCUCGCUAGGCGCUAGCAUGCCGUGGAAACGCCCAGCAAGCGUUGGCGGCCACACGCCACAGUGCUUCCUUAUGAUGAUUCUCCCAUUUCAGCGACCACAAGCGGGCCAAGGUGCACACGAAGGCCCCCGCCGCCAGGGCAGCCCCCACCCCCGACACACCCGCGUCGCACACAUAUUGCAAAUGCUUAGCCUUCAGGGCGGCUAACUGUGGAGCCAUUUGUAGCACGGUCCCCGCCUUCACCGUGUAGGCAGUGAGCAGGAUGGGCGGCCCACACGGGUAUGACGCCGGUCUGAAGAGGGGCAAAAACGUGUCCACACGUGUUUCUCCACGCUCGCGUAGACUUAGCCUCCCUCUUUCAGGAAUUAACUUAUAUGACAUAUAAGGAUGCAAAAGUUUGACUCCCGUCGCAUUCUGCGAGGGUGGCUGUCACCACAUUUCGCGAGGCAUGCUUUCGCCAGGGUCGCACUCUUAAGCCCGGGAGCAUGUUUCUAGUCUCCUUGCAUGUAUUUUUGAUGACGGCAACAAUAAUUGGCAUCAAAGCGCGGUAAUUGCGCAGACUUGAGAAGCCUGUUCACCGCGACGUCACCGAAUAGGCCGCAAACAAAAUAUUUGAGAUCUCUAUAGUAUCAAGGUGAUAUUUGUAGAACGCUGGUAGCUAAUUCGGAGGUCGGCCUGACGACCGUCGCCGACCGUGCCAAGCUGGGCGGAACGCAUCCCCCGGACGCCACGCGAGCUAGACCAGUCUAGGCCGUGUCGUCCGCCCGGGACCACGUUCGCCGUGCCUUAAAUGGGGACCGGACGACAAGGCCAAGGCAGGUAACCAGGCUGUGCCGUUUGACCCCUCUCCCAGACCGGCGUCAUACCCGUGUGUGGGCGGCCCCCCGCACUGCAACCAGCCAAGCCCCCGCACCACCUGUUGCACCGACUCCGCCGUAGCACUCACGAUGUCGGCCGCCGGGAGCGGCAGCGCGCGCGGCGGCAAGCCCCCGACGAGCCAGCUGGGCGGCACGCGCGGCGGCAGCCCAGCCAGCGGGGAGAAGGGCCACCGCCGCCGCAAACCGGUCGGCCGCCUCUUGAGGCGAUGCCGGCCCCGGCAGGGGCGACGGCAGGCGCGCCCGCGCGUGCUCCAGUGCAGCACCCGCCGCCACACAGCAGUCACAUACAUUUCCACGCUUCACCAAACCGGGAGCCCCACGCCCAAGGGCGUGUGCAUGCCUGCCGCAGUUCGUUCAGGCCGUCAUGCACUGCAACCAGCUGGCCCACACACGCCAGUCCCGGCAGAGCGAACAAAUCCGCGAAAGCCACUUCCCACGUGCGGCCGUCCUCACACAGUGCCGGGUUAGCCCACAACAGCACAUGACUCACCCACGCGCCCGGCUCGGGCGGCGCCACAAGAGUCACCGCGGGCAAUUCAGUCAUGACUUUCAGCAGGCGUGCAAACGGCUUGCCCGCCGGGGUGAGCGGCUUAUUUAGCACACGGUCCGCGGCCCCCCGCACCAACAAGCGCAGGGGCGUUGCCGCCGGGUGCACCUGGCGCAGCCACGCCGCUGCGACCCGGGUCCACGGGGGCACGUACGGCAGCAGACCACACACACCCAACACACACCGGACCGCGAGGCCGGCUUGCCGCGCUUUCACAUGCGGCACCAGCGGUAACAGGCCCGCCCCCCCCCACCGCCGGAGGCAUGCAGUUGCUGCAUAAGUUCAAUGGAGAGGCCAGGCGGGCGUGCCUGGGGGUUGGCAUCAAACUGUCUUGUGGACCAGGACAAAACGCGCAACCACCGUCCGCAAUAUAAGAAAAGGUAAUAGUCACGAUGGGCGCGGAGCCGUCGGGUCCAGAGCAUCGUGACUAUUCCCUUUUCCUGUAUUGCGGAAGCUGGUUCCGCGCAGUAACCAGGCACACGGCCGACUCGGCGUUCGCUCGCCGGUACGUUCUGUUGAAGUUGUUGGUGUUGUUGGUUACAGGUGGUUUCCACGAGCAUGCGUGCUAUCCUGUCCCUGUAAGUGCCAGGUGGGCCCUUACAACACCGGUACAAGACAACAUGGCGCAAUGCCUGCAGGUUUCACGCAAGCGGUUCGUCCAGGCCAAGUCGUUCGUUCAAUGUCUGUUACCCUUUUAGGGAGGGGUAUCGGGCAUCGGGGAGGUGUUAAGUGUGAUAGAGGUUUAAAGAGACAGUGGGGGACGGGAAGGCACGAAUCUUGGCACGAAUGGCUCAGCUGGGAUGUGAACGUGCACACCGUGGCCAUGCUAGCCCUAACCAAGUCUUCAACCAAAACUUGAGCCCCCCCCCCACACACACACACAAACCAUGCAUCUGCAGCUGCGCAAGUAAGCCUUGGCCUUGGACCGCAUGCCGGAGGACGCCUGUCUUGUGGACCAAGACGAUGCGCGCAACCACCUUCCGCACUAUAGGAAAAGGUAAGAGUCACGAUGGGCGCGGGGCCGUCGGGUCCAGAGCUUCGCGACAAUUACCUUGUCCUGUAAUGUGGAAGGUGGUCCCGCGCAGUGACCAGGCACACGGCCGACACAGCGCUCGCUCGCCGGUACGUGCGUGACAUGACGCAAUGUCUGCAGGUAGGGUGAUAGCGCCACGAGCGCUGCAAACGCACAGGUCAGCUGUCCAUUUUCUCUGUUCACCUCGCGUCAAUCAGGACUUGCGCUUACAGCUUGUUGAGCGACCGCACAUGCGUUCUGACAUGCGUUAUGCGUUACCACGCUGAACUGCCAUGGAACCCUUGCGGCCUGUCCCUGCCUGCAAUGUCGCGUUCUUACCCUUACUAUGCAGGUCUGAGGGCGGAUCCGCGCCCUCGAGAAGCAGACUGGCGCUGUGCAUCGUGCCAAGGAGGAGCUGCGUCGUGACAUAAGGCGCAGGUUCUGAGCUGUGUGCGUCGGCACAAACAGACAACAUGUGAAUUGAGGGCCUGUGUAAUCAUGUCGCGAUAACGGAGCAGGGUGGUGGUGCGGCGCCAUGAUUACCUUUCAAAAACCCGCUGCCGCCGCACAUCAUCCCCAAGUUGUUUGCACGGUCACGCCGUGUCAGCAAUACUGUAUCUCAAUCUUCCCUUCGUGCCGUGCAUCCAUCUUGAAACAGAAACUCCACAGAAACACACAGCUUGACCAUCAACCAUUACCAUUGCGCACGCCAUGGCUGGUACUGAGCGUUGUGAGCAACCGGCUCUGCCGAGCGGGCCGCCCGGUUCGCCCGGCACCUCCGAAGUAGCCUUAUCUCGACCGAUAAUGCGCCGGAAGCCCAGCAUCUCUGCAGUACCGGCUCCAUGGCUCCAUGGCAAAGCCCCACGCCAACCCCCGGCGGCCUCACCCACGCUCGCGCUCACUCACCCACGGAGCACAGCAAGGAAACGAAAUUCUGCAUUACUGGCGGCUUUGGACAUGCUUUGUGCGCUGCUCUGAGUAUCGAAUACGCGCUCGCGUUCAGCUACUGGCCCUCGUGGGACGUUUGGCAACUUCCCGCCCGCGCCACGGCUUGUUUGCUUGUGUUGCGUUUCUUCACGCACGUCGAUAAUAUGAUGAGUCGUAACGGUCGCAGUGCCCACCUGCACCAUCAGGCCGAGCCCGCACGACGGUGGUGCAUACUCCAUGAGUUCAUGUAGUAGCCUCUCGGAUUCCCUGUCCAGGAGGUCCCGUUCUAAGGAACAGUGAGCUGCAUCGCAGGUCCAAACAACUUGCGCCUUGGUCCCCAGACACUUCGACACCUGUUGCAGCACUUGCCACGCCGACUCGUUUCAACACCGAAUCCCCGUUAACACUGCUACUUUGAUGACUCGCAACUGCGAAGCUCUCCCGACCCCCCCCCACGCCACCACCCCUACUCCAUUACCGUAUCUGCACAUCGCAUACGCAACCUGGACCCCCGCAUCUACAACCCCGCCAGGUCGCUCCACACCAUCCUUGCUUACCCUAAGCACUGCCCUACACACUGCCUACGCACUGCCGCUGCCAGCCCUAUCGCCGCCAUGGCCACUGCCCUCGCCCGGCCCUCCUCCGCCUCCCCCGCCCUCUCCUCCCCUUCCUCCUCCUCCUCCGCCGCCGCCCUGGCUGCUGCCCCGGCCGCUGCCCUCGCGGCUGCCGGCCAUGCCCCCAUACAGCGACGGAAGCGACACAGCGCUGCUGCUAGCGCCGAACCCAACCGGCCCCAGCUCAUCCGCCAGCCGGCCGCUGCCGCCGCCCGCCAGCUCCGCAUGCGAGCCGUUCUCAGAAAUGGUCGUCAUCUGCCGUCCACCCAGCCCCCCGCCCGCGCCGCCGCUGCCUUCGCCGCGCAGCCCGCCGCCGCCGGAACCCGAGGUGCCGCCGUACACAUGCCACCCGGCACCGCCUGCGCCGCCGCCGCCGCCAUCAAUACCACCACUGCCGCCGCCGCUACCGAAGCCACUGCCGAUGCCACUCCAACCAUACCCGCGCUGCUGCGACCGCUGUUGCUGCUGCUGUUGCGGCUGUAGCUGCAGCUGCUCCAGUCCUUCGUACAGGCCCUCAACCGCUGGACCUAAGCCACGCCCCACGCUCAGCGCGCCCUCGCCGCCGCUGCCGCGCUGAGGCGCCGGCAGCGGAGGAAGAUUCGAGCCAGAGCCGCCCGAGCCGCCAACCACUGCUGUAGCAGCUGCAGCACCCGAGUCGCCGCUGCUGUCCCAUACCGCGCCGCCGCCGCCGCCGCCUCGUGUGCCGCCCGCUCCGCCGGCGCCGCCAGGCAGAGGGUCACUCCUGAACUCGUAGUCCUGCGCUAGGGGCAGACCCGCAGGCUGAAGGGUGAACGUCAGGGACGGAUCGCGGCUGAGGGCGGCGGACGUGGCGGCGGAGGAGGCAGUGGUGAAGGCGCUGUGGCGGCUGUAGCCGCCGGCGGCGCCGCCGCUGCCUGCGGCAGCGGCUGUGCGGGAAGGGUGGUGGUGGUGGUGGCUUGAGGACUGGUGCCCGUACUGCGGUGAGCUCAGGUGCGGGCGAGUGCCUGGAGACGGCAGGGCCUGGGAGUGGUGUGAAGAGGCGUGGUGGUGGUGGCCGCGGCUGUGGCUGUAGCCCUGACCCUGGCUCUGGCUGUGGUGGUAGUGGCGGCUGCUGCUGCUGCCCGGCAUGUGCCCGUGGGCCCCCAGAGAGGGCGCGUGGCUGACGUGGCCGGACACGUGGCCUGAGGGGGCGCCGGAGGCUGACACGUACCCAGGCGUUGACACGUGGCCAGAAGCGCGGGCUGAGGGGUGGUGGUUGUAGCCGUGGCCGUGGCUGUAGCCGUGGCUGUAGCGGUGUCCGGGGCUGUAGCUCUGGGUGUGCUGGUAGUGUCGGUCGUGGUGGUGGGUUUGGCUGUGGCUGUAGUGGGUGUGGUGGUUGUGGGCGGCAGUGGUGGUGGCGGUGGAGGGCUGGUGGUGCAGGACCGGCCUGCCGGUGGUGGCAGUAGCAGCGGCUGCGGCUGUAGCAGCGUGCGGCAGCGGCGUGUGCGGCUGCUGCUGCUGCUGCUGCUGGCUGUAGCCGUGGGCCAUGGAGGCCGGCUGGCUGUGGCGAUGGGAGGGAGCGUGGCUGCUGCGGUGGUGAGACGCGGAGGGCGCGUGUGAGAUGGAUGCCUGGUGGUGUGAGGGCGGCUGCGGGUGCGCGCGAUGGCCAACGCUGCUGCCGCCGUGGUGGCUGCUGCCACCGCCAUCGCGGCGCCGUCCACUAGUGCUGUGCAGCUGUUGCUGCUGCUGUUGCUGCUGCGGCAGCUGCCGGCGGGGUGAAGGCUCCUCUAACACCCCGCCGCCGCCGCCGCCGCGCCGCCGGCCGCCGCCUCUCCUGUCCCCGCUCCCAGUCACCAGCCCCACAGGCACCAGGUCUCCAAACCGCACCCCCAGUGGCAGUUCGUCCCCCUCCUCAGCUUCCGGCACCUCCUGCUCCUCCUUGGCUGGAUCCAGAUCCGCGUCGCGCCAGUGCUCUGGAUCCGGCUCGCCGUCUUCGCCCACCAGGUCCGGAUCCAGCUCGCGCUGCAGCUCACCGGAUCCGGAUCCAGACGCCUCGGCCACGUCAUCGUCCAUGGACAGCGCCGCCGCCAGCUCGCGGUGACUCACUAGACGGCUUGCCAGCAGGCGCACCUGCGUACGCAUGUGCACGUGUUUGUGCGUUAGAGAGCACUAGGGAAGAAACACGAACGUGUGUCUUUGUGUGCGUGUGUGUUAAAGAGCACAAGGAAAACGUUGCGCAAAGACAGUGUAUGCGAUGCAGCGUGUGUGUGUAUGUGUACGUGCGCGUCGUCUCAGCUACUACAGUUCCGGAGAGGCGGGAGUCACCGGCAGCAUGGGCAAGCGCGCCCACACCCAUAAACACACACGCGCACGCACCGUGGCUGACAACUUCUGGUCGAUCACGUCCAUCUUGCUCUCCAGCGCCUCCACUCGCAGCCGUGUCUCCUGCAGGCGCGGCGGACGGAUGAGUUGGUGCGAGGGAAGUGGGAAUUUGAAGGUGGGCAGGCAGAUGCAAAAGGCGGCCUCAGGACACUUCGCAUGGGGUCACAUUUCCUCACGCGUUCUGAAACACGCCCUCAGCCUUUCGCCGUUCGUCCCACCGCUGCAAAGCCGCAGCCCCCCACCCUCCCACCCCCGCCCCGCCCCCGCGGGGCGCCUGCUAUACUACUGCUCCUGCUACACUUCACUUCUAAAUUAGUGAUGAAUGUCACCCCACCCACCGCGCACAGACACCCAACCCCGCACUCCGCCCCCCAUGCAGCCCACCCAACUCCCCAUCACCCAGUCAUCUUCCCCCCGUACCUGCUGCGCGUUCAUGAGGCUGCUCUGCAGGCUGCUCAUGCCGCUCCACACGCUGUUGAGGUUGAUCUCGUACGUGGAGCGCGGGCUCACCUGUGGGGAAC